rnacentral:rRNA from 1 species
CUACGUGCCAGCAGCCGCGGUAAUACGUAGGUGGCAAGCGUUGUCCGGAAUUAUUGGGCGUAAAGCGCGCGCAGGCGGAUCAGUCAGUCUGUCUUAAAAGUUUGGGGCUUAACCCCGUGAUGGGAUGGAAACUGCUGAUCUAGAGUAUCGGAGAGGAAAGUGGAAUUCCUAGUGUAGCGGUGAAAUGCGUAGAUAUUAGGAAGAACACCAGUGGCGAAGGCGACUUUCUGGACGAAAACUGACGCUGAGGCGCGAAAGCCAGGGGAGCGAACGGGAUUAGAUACCCCGGUAGUCCUGGCCGUAAACGAUGGGUACUAGGUGUAGGAGGUAUCGACCCCUUCUGUGCCGGAGUUAACGCAAUAAGUACCCCGCCUGGGGAGUACGACCGCAAGGUUGAAACUCAAAGGAAUUGACGGGGGCCCGCACAAGCGGUGGAGUAUGUGGUUUAAUUCGACGCAACGCGAAGAACCUUACCAGGUCUUGACAUUGAUGGACAGAACUAGAGAUAG